rnacentral:rRNA from 1 species
CGUAGGUGACCUGCGGAAGGAUCAUUACCG